rnacentral:lncRNA from 1 species
GGAGGCAUCAGGUGCAGAUCUAGUAGGAGAAGGAGAGGAGGACGUUGGAGGAGAUGACUGGAGGCAGUUCCGUUGAGCACUCUUUCAAGAACAAGGGUACUGCGAAGACACAGGACCCUUCCUCUAGCGCUAAUUCUGUUGGUGCAGAAUUCCACCGAAGCUGGAGUUGCUGGAGUCGAGAUGACCGCAGCUGCCACCGGAACCUGCAAGGAAAGUCUAAACCAGAGUUGGGGGUGCUCCGCCAAGACCCUCCG